UAGAAAGCGGAUUCUUCCCUCUCCUCCUUCGAUUUCGUCACCAAUUCCACACAAGCUAUCUUCUCUUGCCUAAACACCACCUCCACCACUCCAUGGCAUCUCUGUGGCGGGCCGCCACCACGGCCCUUACCCAAAUCCAAACGAACCAAACCAAUUACAACGGAGUGGAGUUCUGGUUGAGCCCUGAGCGAACUGGCUGGCUAAUGAAGCAGGGAGAGUACAUCAAAACCUGGAGACGCCGUUGGUUCGUUCUCAAACAAGGCAAGCUAUUCUGGUUCAAGGACUCCAUAGUCACUCGCGAGUCGAAGCCACGCGGCGUCAUCCCAGUGGCCACGUGCCUUACAGUGAAAGGAGCUGAAGACGUUCUCAACAAACAAUACGCUUUUGAGCUUUCGACGAGGACGGAUACUAUGUAUUUCAUCGCCGAUUCGGAGAAGGAGAAAGAGGACUGGAUCAACUCGAUCGGACGGUCUAUAGUGCAGCACUCGAGAUCCGUGACGGAUUCAGAGAUAGUUGAUUAUGAUAACAAGCGAUGAUGAUAGGUGUGCUUUCUGAAAUAUUGAUCAAAUCACGUUAUAUUAAUUAUCUGAAAUUUUUGUAAUUUCUGUGUCUCUGUUGUAAAUUCUUGGUUUUUAAGAGAUAAUAUCUGUGGAUUUUUGAGUGUUUAUAAGGAUAAUCUUUUGUAAUUGCUCAGGGUUUUUGAUUAUUGAGUUUCGAAUCCAGUUAUUCUUGUUUCUUUUGUGGGUUAGGUUUCGGUAUUUGGGAUGGCUUCAGAUGAUCGUUUACAGACGCAUAAAAUGGAAUUCAAGCAACCAAUCAAUCAGCUUUAGCUCAAUGGCAGUUGAGUGUUAAAUGAAAAAUUCAAGCAAGGGAAAAAAUUUGAUGAUUUCCCUCAUAAAUCUAACAUUUUUCUAAUGCCUUGUCAUUCAUUUAAUCUGUCGGUACUGGUGUUGUUUUCAGGUGCCAAGCGUAGAGUUUGAGAUUCUGUGGGAAUCAAAUAAAAUAAUAAAAAAAAAUUCAAGCAAACCUACAGAUUCUCAUGAUUUCCCUCAUAAAUCUUACAUUUUCUAAUGUUUUCUCGUUUCUUUUUCUUUUGCUUUCCAAGCCAAAUAUAAUUCCCUAAUCACAUCUCUUAUUUUCAUUUAGUCUCUAGGUGUCUCCAUGGAGCAUCAAAGUCCUGCUUUGAAUCACAGAGACCAAGCACUGUUGCUUUCUCUGUGAUGUGUUUUCUUCAGGCUCUAGUUGUGAAUCCAUGAUAUUCUCGACUCUCAGGCAAAUGCCAUUCUAGUUAAGUUGCGGAGGUUCAGUUCCUCCUGAUACAUGCCAUAAGUUGGUCCUUUUGCUUUAACAUUUCCAACAGAAGCAUCCCCAAACUUUGUGCAUCCUUGAAUAGACAAACCUGCACCUGUGACAUUUUCUGCAUUAACCUUUAGAAUGAAAUUUUUAAAUGAUAAGCUGCUAUAAGUUAUGCAUGCUAGUCAAUGGAAUUCAAAGAAAUGUACAAAGUUUUUCACUUAAGAGCAACACAUCCAAUCAAUUUCUUUGUAAUGACUGAGCUAGAUUGAUCAUUUUGUGAAUUUUCAGAAGACAGGCAGAAUUUGUGCAGCAAAAAUACCCAUAUUAGCAACUGUGUACUUGCCAAGAAGAACAUUACUGAGUUUGAAACCACUAUGAACAACUGAUAAUUGAUAAUGACAGUGAAGAUACUCAGAAAGCUAAGCAACAUCAAUUGAAUUUAAAUUUUUAAACAAUGAAAUCCGAAAAAUUAUGCGACUGUGGCCGCUUUAUUACUUUCUAAGGGCAUUUAGAUGUACAUUACUGAUUACUCAAGCUGCACUUUAAGCUUCUAUUGGCUCAUUGUAAUAGUUACAAGCACGACUACAUAUGCAAUUCAACCAGUAUUUGAAGACUCCACUAUUGCUUGAAAAUGCAAGUAAUAUUCUUUUUCAAGAAUUAAUAUUCUUUUUCAAGAACUAUAUUAAGAAAUAUUGACGCCAUCGAUUUCAUAUGUCACAAUUCUAGAAAGAGAAGACUCCACUUCUCCAUAUGAAAGAAGCAUUCUUAUGAUAGAUCACUGAACUGAUGGAGAAAAAAAGUGAGGGUGAAGACAGAGAGAGGCAGGCAGCCUCCAGAAGGGCCUGCUCUCUACUAUCAUAAUCAUCAUCUCUUCAACUACCCUAAUUUUAAUGUAUUCUUAUGGUAGAUCGCUGAUCUGAUGGAAUCAAAAUUUAUGUUCUGAAGCAUCAUAAUCUUCAUCUUCAGCGUGACCAUCAUUAUCGUCCAUGAUGAUCAUAUGGCUACUCAUCCUUUGAACUGUAUUCAUAAACCAAGGGGGAAAAAAAGAAACCCUAACCUUUUUUUUCCCUGCACCUCGACUCCAUGGGGUGCGUCUUUUUGCACCUCAUGCCUUGGUGUGCCUCGGUGGGGUGCCACACCUCUCCUUCCAUUGGGCGACGCCACCUGCACCUGGGCGCACCCCGUGCCAGAGGCGCGCCUUUGAUAACAGUGCCUAGAACAGAAUUGGGUCUGGACGGUUGAUCUGGAUGUGCCAUGUCUGACAUGCUUUCAUGACACGAGUGCUUCUACAGUUUUCAUUUUUCAAUUUCAUCUAUCUGAGAGUGAGAACAGUUGAGUUUGUGUAUUUUGAUUCUUAUCCAUAUAUUGCAGAAACUGGAGAAUAGUGGGAUUUAGUGUUUAACACUUAUAUAUAUGGAUGAUGAAAAUGAUGAACAAAGUGGUCUGCUUUACUCUCUAACUUGAUGCUCCAAAUUUGCUUGUGUGUAAAUAUGUUUGCUGUUGCUGCCCAUGGAUGAGUGUUGAUUGUUUGGAUAAACUUAGAUGAUGGGUGAUGGAUUGCACAUUGAAAUCAAGUAAGGGCCAGGUACUGAGCAAAGUUAACUGUAGUUACUUUUCAUAGAUGCAUCUAAUGGUUGACGUGUGCUUCUUCUCUGAUUGAAUGUUUCUUUUUCUAAAUUUUUAAUUGCAGAUAUUAUAAUGUUAUUGAUUUUAAUUUUUACUAUACAUCCACUGAUCUAAUUGUAGGCUUCAGGAUUGCGACUUGACUACCAAGGAUGCAUAUAAAUAUUUUGUACACAGAGCUCAAGAAAUAAAAAUUUCAAAAGGUUGGACCCAUGUCAACUGAGCGCUCAUGGAGUAGGAGAGAGGCCAUAUCUUCUGAAAAUAUUACCUUAGCAGCUUUACCUAUCUUGCGGUACUUCAGGUGCCUACUGAAUAGACGUGGAGUUGAAGCUGCUCCUGUCACAAAUUUUUAUGCCCGACAACCUCCGAUUGGUCUCGGGUUAUGCUAUGAGCAAUAAUUCCUCGUGUCAUAUUCAUGCAUCUGAAGCUUACUCUUUGAUUUUGUAUGUAAUAAAUGCAAGCACUCCAAAAAAAUUUCAUACUUUUCAGGUUUCAAUUGUUCUUUUACUAGAAAAUUGAUUGAUAUUAAUUUGGUGUCAUAUAUCAAUGGUAGAGUAUUUUGGGUUGCAAGAAUUUUGCAACCUGGAGGUCACGGUUUCGAGUCAUGAAAAUAGCCUCUUUGCAAAAUAGAGGUAAGGCUUUGUACAUCAAGCCUUCUUCGAGCCCACUAUUGUGUGAUAUUUCAUGCAUUGGAUCUCCCUUUUUAUUUUCUGUUCACCAAUUUGAUGAUAUUCUUGUUGUGCUUUUCUGUUUAUGAAUGCUGACUGUACUGCUUUACCUCACAAAUUCUUGAGCAAUUCUAUCUGAAAUCUGUAUCAAUCCAACUGUCCUUAGAAACUCCAUCAUGCUCUCCUCCCUCAAUGUUUAUGGAUUUUCCUGCAAUGUUGCCAUGAAUUUAUCCCUUUGGCAACUUCCAAACUUGUGUCAUAAAUGAUCCCUUCGUACUCCUCAUGGGAGGACAAGUAGGGAACUGGUAAAUUUUCAGUUUGAUGUACUUUUUUCCUCGUGCCAAUAACUACAUCCGCAUCAUUACAAAUUGAUCCUUAUGUAUUAGACUGUUAAAAAUGUUCGCCCUGAACUUUAUGAACUGCUACAAAUUGUUCUCUUUUUGAACUUUUUAGCCUCACAUGGUAACUUAUAAUUAAUGUUCUCUCUGCAUUUUCUUCUCUCAAAUUCUCAUUUAAUCUGCA
rnacentral:misc_RNA from 1 species